AUUGAACGCUGGCGGCAUGCUUUACACAUGCAAGUCGAACGGUAACAGGUUAAGCUGACGAGUGGCGAACGGGUGAGUAAUGCAUCGGAACGUGCCCGGUCGUGGGGGAUAACGCAGCGAAAGCUGCGCUAAUACCGCAUACGAUCUGAGGAUGAAAGCGGGGGACCGUAAGGCAUCGCGCGAUCGGAGCGGCCGAUGUCAGAUUAGGUAGUUGGUGGGGUAAAGGCUCACCAAGCUAACGAUCUGUAGCUGGUCUGAGAGGAUGACCAGCCACACUGGGAUUGAGACACGGCCCAGACUGCUACGGGAGGCAGCAGUGGGGAAUUUUGGACAAUGGGCGAAAGCCUGAUCCAGCAAUGCCGCGUGCAGGAAGAAGGCCUUCGGGUUGUAAACUGCUUUUGUACGGAGCGAAAAGGUCUCCUCUAAUACAGGGGGCUCAUGACGGUACCGUAAGAAUAAGCACCGGCUAACUACGUGCCAGCCGCCGCGGUAA
rnacentral:rRNA from 1 species